UUAACACAUAUGUUUAUGUAAAUUAAAAUUUUAAAUUUUAAGAAUUUCCUGUAAUCAUGGUACUCAAACUUCUUUUGGAGUGGGUCAUGUUAUAGUUAGUAUUAGUAUUGAGUUAAUCCAAAUGACAAGAAGUUAUAAUAUUCAACAAUUAUCAAACUUAAGAAUUAAAUAUAAUUUUACUAGAAAACCAUCUUUUGUGAAAUAAAUGAGGUGAAUUGGGCUUUUCAAUGAUUUUUAAAUUUUGCUUCUAUAUUUUCCUUAUAUUUUACUUUAUAGUUAUUUUGUGUAUCUAUUCUUGAAUAGUUAUUGCUUAUUACUGGGCUGAGACAGACUCAGUAUCAAUACAAUCUCUGCUUUUUAUUUUUAUAGACCCAUUUCCUGAAGUCUUGUUUAUACAUAUGAAGUGAAAAGGAAUCAGCUAUACUUCAUGAAAGAAAGGAAAAUGUGCUUUUCCCCAACUGCUCCACAUCGCUUUGGUUCAGGAUGAAGCAGAGCAACCAGUCAUUUUGUCCUCUAGCAUGCAGUAUUUAAGUGUAAUAUGUGAUCCAUAUAAACAUAAAGAAGUAGAUGUUCAUGCUUCUUUUAGGGAUUGGCUGAGCUGGCCACUGUCCAGCUUGACUCCUUCAAAUGGUUGCAGGAAGAUGACAGCUGAGGCCAGGGUCAUGAGAAAGCUUCUCUACCCACAUGUCCGGCUGCUGGGCUGGGAGAGUUAGAACAGCUGGGCCAAGCAGGAACCAUCUCUUUCUUCUGUCCACGUAGCCAAGUCGCCUGGCCUCCACAUGCCAGCAGCACACUUGCAAAUCUGCUACUGUAUGUGGUUCUGACUCUGUAAUUACCAAUUCAACAAGCAUGAAACCUUUGAAUGCUGAAUUGCCUUUCCCUUACUUAAUUUUCAUUUCUUGUAAUUUUCUCUUUUCGUUCAGUUUUGAGAAGUAUUCUUAUAACUUUCUUAAUAUACUCUUUCUUUGAAUUGACAUUUAUAAAAAAGAUUAUCACACAAGCUGUUAUUUUAUUUGACAAAGCAAAUAAUUUCUACAUUUUACAAUGUUUUAGAAACUUUGACUUUGCUGUACACAGAGACAGAAUGGACUGAUGCUUUGAGAUUUUUCCAUGACUAGAAAGGUAUGGAAAGUCUUACCGAUUUAUAUUGUGUUCUGACUUCCUGAGAAGUUUUCCUAAUGCUACUCCAUUUUAGUCAUAAUGUGAAACAAAAUUUGCUUGUUUGUUGUUGCUUCUUUUUAGUUAAAAUUCAGUCUUGAACUUUGUAUUUGUUUUCUUCUCUGUUUUUUAAACUUAAUUUCUGUGGAAUUUUACAAUAGCAGCAGUUUUAUUUUUUUAAAUUUCUCCU